rnacentral:rRNA from 1 species
GAGUUUGAUCAUGGCUCAGGAUGAACGCUAGCGGCAGGNCUAACACAUGCAAGUCGAGGGGCAGCACGUCUUCGGAUGGUGGCGACCGGCGCACGGGUGCGUAACGCGUAUGCAACCUACCUUUAACAGGAGGAUAGCCCCGAGAAAUCGGGAUUAAUACUCAUAAUAUUUUUUAGUGGCAUCACAUAAAAAUUAAAGCUUUUUGCGGUUAGAGAUGGGCAUGCGUGACAUUAGUUUGUUGGUAAGGUAACGGCUUACCAAGACUACGAUGUCUAGGGGUUCUGAGAGGAUUAACCCCCACACUGGUACUGAGACACGGACCAGACUCCUACGGGAGGCAGCAGUGAGGAAUAUUGGUCAAUGGACGCAAGUCUGAACCAGCCAUGCCGCGUGAAGGAUGAAGGCCUUAUGGGUUGUAAACUUCUUUUAUACGGGAAUAAACUUAGCUAUGUAUAGCUAACUGCAGGUACCGUACGAAUAAGCACCGGCUAACUCCGUGCCAGCAGCCGCGGUAAUACGGAGGGUGCAAGCGUUAUCCGGAUUUAUUGGGUUUAAAGGGUCCGCAGGCGGACUAAUAAGUCAGUGGUGAAAUCUCUCGGCUCAACCGAGAAACUGCCAUUGAUACUGUUAGUCUAGAGUGUAGUUGGCGUAGGCGGAAUGUAUCAUGUAGCGGUGAAAUGCUUAGAUAUGAUACAGAACACCGAUCGCGAAGGCAGCUUACGAAACUACAACUGACGCUCAGGGACGAAAGCGUGGGGAGCGAACAGGAUUAGAUACCCUGGUAGUCCACGCUGUAAACGAUGAUAUCGUUGUCGGCGAUAUACAGUCGGUGGCUAAGCGAAAGCGAUAAGUAAUCCACCUGGGGAGUACGAUCGCAAGGUUGAAACU